UACGUAGGGUGCAAGCGUUAUCCGGAAUUAUUGGGCGUAAAGAGCUCGUAGGCGGUUUGUUGCGUCCGCUGUGAAAACCCGGGGCUUAACCCCGGGCUUGCAGUGGAUACGGGCAGGCUGGAGGCAGGCAGGGGAGAACGGAAUUCCCGGUGUAGCGGUGAAAUGCGCAGAUAUCGGGAGGAACACCGGUGGCGAAGGCGGUUCUCUGGGCCGAUACUGACGCUGAGGAGCGAAAGCGUGGGGAGCGAACAGG
rnacentral:rRNA from 1 species